CUACGGGGCGCUGCAGUGAGGAAUAUUGCACAAUGGGGGGAACCCUGAUGCAGCAACGCCGCGUGGAGGAUGACGCAUUUCGGUGUGUAAACUCCUUUUAUAUGUCAAGAAAAUGACGGUAGCAUAUGAAUAAGCACCGGCUAACUCCGUGCCAGCAGCCGCGGUAAUAGCGGAGGGUGCAAGCGUUACUCGGAAUCACUGGGCGUAAAGGACGCGUAGGCGGGUUGGAAAGUCAGGUGUGAAAUCCUACAGCUUAACUGUAGAACUGCACUUGAAACUUCUAAUCUAGAGUAUGGGAGGGGGAGAUGGAAUUAGUGGUGUAGGGGUAAAAUCCGUAGAUAUCACUAGGAAUACCUAAAGCGAAGGCGAUCUCCUGGAACAUUACUGACGCUAAGGCGUGAAAGCGUGGGGAGCAAACAGGAUUAGAUACCCUUGUAGUC
rnacentral:rRNA from 1 species